AUGGAGACAGAACGCCCUGCUCGCAGGAAGAGACAAGCGAGGGCUCAGAUGUGGCUUAUGAUUGGACAGCCUAUGGGAAGGCCCUGCCCCCGCCGCCGGGGAGGGUGGACCUUCGGAGGGACUCGGGACGCAGGCGCACUGUGCUCCUGGAGCCUGGGGAUGCGCGCGCAUUGGCGCUGGCCUCGUCCUCGCUGCCGCUCGCACGCCCGUUCCCUUUCGGCCUUUGCGUGCCUGGCUCCCCGCGCCCCCGGGGGAGCGCCUUCGGAGCCGGUACGUGCGGACCCGGGCGUCUCUGAACCCCGAUUCUUUUUGCGGAUGCUUGGCGCUCGGCGCCUAGGGAGGGGACGUGACGUCAUUUGUUGCGGGAGCGGGCGAGGGCCUGGACGUGACGUCACCUUUUGCUGGGGCCCCAGGCAGAGGAGAAGCUGGGCAGCCACCCUGGAAGGGACUGUCCCAGGGUUCCAGGCUGGGCCCCCAGAGGGUGAUUUCUUGUGCAGACCCCCACCUGAGGAAGCCCCGAGGCCAGAGUACCUGGCCAAGGAUUCGGACCCUGGGACUGCAGGGGAGAUUGACUGGCCCCAGUGAACCCCCACUGAGGACGACUUAACCCUGGUGGUCCAGAUGCUCGAGGAGGGGAGCUCUGCCCACUGAGGGCACAGCACGUGCCCCGGAGGAGGAGGAGGAGGGAGAGGAAGAGGACGGAGCAGCCCCCUCUGCACUCCUGGCAGCCCCUUGCCAGGUAGGUUUCUGGCUCUGUUAACAAGCCUUAUGUCUGGUUCCCAUUGCUGUCCCUGGGCCCCCUCCCUGGUUACCACUUGUCAGAAUGGCCACUCCUUGAGGCCAAGGACCUUCCCACAAGGACCAGAUCCCCCUGGCUGUGCUCUUCCCUCCGCCCUUUCCCCAUAGUCCCCACUCCCUCAUUGCUUCCCUGGGGCCUAAGGCUGGAGGGAGUGCUGUCCAGGUGCCUGGGGAGGGCCAUACGGCUGGCCCUUUGAGAGACAGGGCCUUGGCUGGAGCCCUUGGAGCAAGCCUCGAUGGGAGAAGGUAGGUCAGGCAGCAAGGCUCUCAAGGAAGACUUUGGGGAGGUACUUUUGCGGGGGCCUGGGCAUGGCGCUGCUAGUGGGGAGAACAGGGUGAACAAGAGCUUGGAGGUGGGCAUUUACGUGCUUUUGGGAGGGGCCUGAGUUGUGGGCUCAGUGUUUGGGAGCAGAAGGAAAUGAGGUUGGACACAGUCUGUGGAUAGCCUUGAAGGCCUGGCCCUGGCUCUUGGCCGCAGGCUGGUCCGUGCUGGGGCUGUGUUGGCCCCUCUUUGCUGUCGGAUGAGGGGAGUCCUGGGCAAGGAUUAGGGUCACAGCCACAGGGUAGCCAGAGUAUAUUCUUGACUGUCAGAUCCCUGGGUAGGCCUUGGUCUCUAGCCUCCCACCAUGUGCUGCCUUCUGACAGCAUGUGUUAUCUGACCUCCCCUGGGCCCUCCUGGCCACCCAUAACCCACCUCGGUCUCCCACUGCCCCCGGGGCUGUCCUGAGCCUCUCAGCUGAGGAGGGCCCCACCUCCCCCUUCUGCCUUUCACCCUUUCUCAGGCAUUCCCCCCUGGGGGCUUCAGAGGCUGUCCCCUGGAGGGGCCUCAUCCAGCUCCCC
ensembl:lncRNA